UUUGGGCUAAUUAGGCCUUUGUGAAUCAUUAUUCAUUAAGUUGUCAUACAACUUAAGUCAAUGGGCUUGACAUUCGAAGCCCAUUGGGCCUUAAUGUCCAAAACUAUCCCGAGGUCUUUAACGAACUUAUUCGUUUGAUUAAUUAACAUAUUAAUUAAUCCUUGCAAUAAAUAAAUGAUUAAACCAUUUAAUCAUUCUUACUCAUCUCCAUUGUUUCUUCAAUCUCCACCUUACACGGUGUGCGAUCCAUUAGGUUCCUUUUAGCGAGGCAAUGGGCGAUUAAAACCAUUUUAUAUCGAUUGUGAAUUGAAACUUACUUUCAAUUCUCCCUUUAGUGAUUAC
rnacentral:lncRNA from 1 species